GACGAACGCUGGCGGCGUGCUUAACACAUGCAAGUCGAACGAUGAAGAAAAGAAUCGAAGCUUCGGCAGAAAUUCAUUGCGGAUUAGUGGCAGACGGGUGAGUAACGCGUGAGCAACCGACCACUUACAAAGGGAUAGCCUCGGGAAACCGGGAUUAAUACCAUAUAACAGUGCGACGAAGAAUUUCGAUGCAAUCAAAGCUACGGCGGGCAGAGAUGGGCCCGCGUCCCAUUAACCGGAUGGUGAGGUAACGGCUCACCAUAGUGACGCUGGGUAACCGGCCUGAGAGGGUGACCGGUCACACUGGAGCUGAGACACGGUCCAGACUCCUACGGGAUGCAGCAGUGGGGAAUAGUGCACCAUGGAGGGAACUCUGAUGCAGCGACGCCGCGUGAGUUAUGAAGUUAUUCGUGUCGUAAAGCUCUGUUCUAUGGGAAGAAAAGGACUGUACCAGAGGAGAAAGCUCCGGCUAACUACGUG
rnacentral:rRNA from 1 species